GCCCUCGUGGUUGAAUGUACAUCACCCUAAACACCUGAUUGUACCGAAUAUCCAUAGUGAUGGGGAGGCGGAGGUUCGAAUCCUCCCGAGGGCA